rnacentral:rRNA from 1 species
GACGAACGCUGGCGGCGUGCUUAACACAUGCAAGUCGAACGGAAAGGCCCUGCUUGCAGGGUACUCGAGUGGCGAACGGGUGAGUAACACGUGGGUGAUCUGCCCUGCACUUCGGGAUAAGCCUGGGAAACUGGGUCUAAUACCGGAUAGGAGCCAUUUUUAGUGUGAUGGUUGGAAAGUUUUUUCGGUGUAGGAUGAGCUCGCGGCCUAUCAGCUUGUUGGGGGGGUAAUGGCCUACCAAGGCGGCGACGGGUAGCCGGCCUGAGAGGGUGGACGGCCACAUUGGGACUGAGAUACGGCCCAGACGCCUACGGGAGGCAGCAGUGGGGAAUAUUGCACAAUGGGCGCAAGCCUGAUGCAGCGACGCCGCGUGGGGGAUGACGGCCUUCGGGUUGUAAACGCCUUUCGCUAGGGACGAAGCUUUUUGUGACGGUACCUAGAGAAGAAGCACCGGCUAACUACGUG